rnacentral:rRNA from 1 species
GACGAACCGUGCGAACGUUGUUCGGAUUCACUGGGCUUAAAGGGCGCGUAGGCGGACAAUCAAGUCAGGGGUGAAAGCCUCCAGCUCAACUGGAGAAGUGCCUUUGAUACUGACUGUCUCGAGGGAGGUAGGGGCAUGUGGAACUUCCGGUGGAGCGGUGAAAUGCGUAAAUAUCGGAAGGAACGCCGGUGGCGAAAGCGACGUGCUGGACCUCUUCUGACGCUGAGGCGCGAAAGCUAGGGGAGCAAACGGG